GCCUUUGUGGUGUAAUGGUAGCACACUUGACCCUUAUUCAAGAGGUUCAGGUUCGAGUCCCGACUAGGGUA
rnacentral:tRNA from 1 species